GUAAUGAAUUAUUGACAAGAGAGAAUAUUAUACAAAAUCGCGAGGAAGAAGAAAAAGCAAAUAAGCGCCGAUGGUGAAGUGUUUUCGUCGAUACGCGGCGAAAAGCGAAAAAUCAAUCGAUAUUGUCGUUUAGGCGUAAAAUAUACGACCAAACGAGUUUACGGGAACUGCGGGAGAUCGUAAAAUUAUGACCUACACUUGAACAAAUUUAUUGACUAUUUUUUCCCCAUCAUCACGAUUAAGAAUCAAGAUUUCCGAAAGAAAAAAA